GCAACAUCUGACAUAACACAUAGUUCAUGCAAUGAGAUACAGCAGAAGUGAAGACUGGCUUGGGCAUGAUGACCAAGUAUGAUUGCACAUAAUUAAUUACCAGCAUCCCAGGCCUUUUCUCCCACGUUUUCUGACAUUUGAAAAUGCCAUCGAGUACCUCCUUAUUCUCCCCCCUCUCCUCUCCUCUUCUCUCCACCUUUCUCCCUCCCUCUCUCUCUUCUUCUCUUCCUCUUUAUUUCUGCUAAUUUGUUAGUUUAAAAAUAUAACUGCACUUAGUCCUGUGCACAUAACUUCACCAUACAGUGUCAACUUUUGUUGACUUGUGUAGAUCUUGUCUGCUGGACCUGGGAUCUGAGGAUCUUCCAGAAUAGGGCAGAAUACAGUCUAAUACUGUAGACAACCAAGGUUAUUUGAGUUCAGAAAAUCAUAGUCAGGAAAACAUGUAAAUAAAUGCCAAUUAUCAUAUACUAAAUAUUAACAGAGUAGCUCCUUCUCUGAACUUUCUCAGCACAGACCAAUUUAAACACAAUUGCUUAGUAUACACUAUAGAUUAUAUCUGGGGAAGCAUGAAAGCAAGGCAGAAGACCAUAUCCAGGUUUAGGGUACAGUGACCGGAUUGGGUUCUAUAGCUGUGCUCUGACAUCCAAAAAGAAUAAGCAGGUCUUACAAAUUAAAUGUGAAUGUUUAACACAAGGACACAAAAUCAUGUCUAAGAACAAUCCAGGCAACAAAAUUUACCUGAGGUAAAAGGCCAUCUGCCUUUUUUCCUGGAACCUCUUUCAGAGUUCCCCAAGGCAUUGUUUACCAUGCAUAAUUUUUUUGACAGUGCUCCCACAAUACAGUACAAGGAAAUGUCAGAUAUUCUAUAAAAUCACUUCCUUAGUGCCUCGUGUACAGAAUAAUUCGGGUAUCCCAUAGGAAAGUCUUACACCCUUGCCCAACUAUAAGCUCCUAAAAAUUGACAAAUGUCCUGAUUUUGGUCAUUGUUUAUUUUCAGUGUUCUUGAAAUUCUUUGGGGUAGAAUUACAAACUAUGUACUAUUUACACAGUAUGCACUAUUUUAUUAUAUCUUUUGUUUCACAUUUUGACUGAGAUUUGUUGGAGUUUAUACUGGAUUGGAGGCUGCUUGGAGGCCCUAAUGGGAUGUAGACCCUUUACAUACUCAGAGUCAUGCCACACAAGGCUUAUUGUAGACAGGCUCUAUGGUCUAGGAAGCCUGGGCACUUGCUUGAUAUUUUCUCUGUAUACAGAGAAAUUUUUCUCUGUAUACAUAGUGGUCAAAUGUUCCAGGCACUGUGAUGAGUAAUGUUUUGUUUGCCGUCCCAGAAUGGACCUUGUUAAAGGUGAACUUAUGAGCUCCCAGUAAUUCUACUGUCUUUUAAGAACAAGUCUUUAUGGACUUGUUUUCUGCUUCCCUGUUUGGGGGCUAUAAAAAUGGUGAUUCCAUUAAUGAACUUGCUGGGCUGGGUCACCAGUACUCAUAGCCCUCUUGAUCCCAGAUUUUGACCUGUUCCUUUCAUUUUAGUUAUAUAUUUAUUACUUUAUGUACCUGAGAUUUCCUCUUUGGACCCUCUUCAUAGCCCUGAUAGAGCUGGUCUAGGUCAGAAAUCCUUACUGGUACUUUUGGCAGACAUCUGUUCUUUUUCAUUGUAUACUAGUUGUUAAUUGAAUAUAUAGCAUUUUAAUGGUUUCAUUUAAUUGACUUAUUAAUUAUUUCUUGUGUUUUGUUAUUUAUAAUCACUCUUCCCUGAAUAUUCUUGGACAUAAACACUCAUUCUUUGGAUAUGUACUUAGUUACAGAAUCACUCAUUUCAAAGAUAGAGCAUAUUUAGUUCUAUUAGAAACUGCUAAGCAAACUUGAAAGAGAUUGUAAAAUUUUACUUUACUAUUAAUGACUUGUAAGGGUGCAUGCUAUUUCACAUUCUCACCAAACUCAGUAGAGAUCAAGGUUCACCGAAUGACCUGAGCAGGGCUCACAGAGACUAAAGCAACAAUAACAGCUUGCAUUGGUCUGUGCUAGAUCUUUUGCAUAUUUGUUGUGGUUGUUUAGUUUGGGGUUUUGCUGGGACCUAUAAUAAUGAGAGUGAGUGUAUCUCUGGCUCUUUUGCCUGCUCUUGGGGACCCUUUUCCUCUUACUGAGUUGCAUUUCCCAGCCUAGAAAUAAGGGUUUGUGCCUAGUUAUAUUGCAUCUUUUUAUGCCAUUCUUGUAAGGCUUCAUCUUAUCUGAAGGAAAACAGAGGGGUAAGGGAUAUGGGAAAGAGGGGAGGUGGGCAGAAAUUGAGAAAAAUGGAGGGAGGGGAAAGUGUGAUCUGUAUGUAUUGUCUGAACAAUAAGUAAAAGGAAUAUUUUUAAAAGAUUAAAAAGGGUUUAAAUAGAAAAACUAACAAUAUGAGCAACAAAGAUUAUGGUAUAGUGUCAAUCAAUAGAAUAAAAUGAAAAACUUGUUAAAUAAAAAACAAUAAUGUAAUAUAACAUUAUAUAAAAAGAACAUAAAUAUGUGAUACGACCAUGAAAAUGUAACAGAAUUGAGACAAGCAUGAUAAAGGAAUAAGUGUAAAUGAACUUAUGUUACCUUGUAAAAGAAAAAUACUUCCACAUUUGUCCUCAAAAGGAAAUGUUAUUUGUGCCUCAUAUACAAUAAAAUGAUCCACAAUGAUUAAAAUUAAUAUAGAGUAAAAAGC
ensembl:lincRNA